rnacentral:rRNA from 1 species
CACGUAGGGGGCGAGCGUUGUCCGGACUUAUUGGGCGUAAAGAGCUCGUAGGCGGUUUGGCAAGUCGGGUGUGAAAUUUCGAGGCUCAACCUCGAAACGCCACUCGAUACUGCCAUGACUGGAGUCCGGUAGAGGAGUGCGGAAUUCCUGGUGUAGCGGUGAAAUGCGCAGAUAUCAGGAGGAACACCAACGGCGAAGGCAGCACUCUGGGCCGGUACUGACGCUGGAGGAGCGAAAGCGUGGGGAGCAAACAGG